rnacentral:rRNA from 1 species
GCCAGAAGCCAUUUUACCCUGCAACGUACAACUAGCAGCCCACUGAAGCUAAGCAGGUGUGAGCCUGGUCAGUACUUGUAUGGGAGACCUCCUGGGAAAAAACUAAGGUUGCUGCUGGAA